CCUCUGUGGUUUCCUGAACUUGAACUUGGGCUAGCAGUGGACAUUGUCAAUACGAAGUGGAGGUUUAUAGAUGCAAUGCAAGGAGAAGUAUGAGCCAAGGUCAAAAGUCAAUGCAUCAGUUUAAGCAGUGCAGAUGAACAUAGAUCAUUUACACUUAAAGAUACUUCUCAUGUGACAUUUCAUUAGCCGAGAUGAUGAAUGUGUGUGCGUGUCUGUGUGGGUGUAUCAAGCCUAUUCUCAUAUCUGCCAGCUCACCCCAGCCAAGAGGGAUUGAAUGAAUGGUCCUCCAAAAUGGCUUUUCACAGUCCUCACUGGCAGACGCUUCCUCUGCAGCACAAAAAGCCUUCAGUAGAAAAGACAGAAGACAGAUGGCUUUUCUUCAAAGUUACUUUCAUCCUGCAGCUUCUCUUGGGGAAUAAAUUAUGGCUUUUCUCUACUCACCAUCAGACGGUAUUGUAGCCGAGUCACAAAACCCCAAACCAAGUCCAAGUUCAAGUUGAGUCCAAGUCACAAAAGAAGAAUCCUUGUCAAGCCCCCAUUGACGGUGUCUGAAGUGCCAGGGGCAACUCAGCAUUUUUGUUAGCCACAAUUUUUGUGUUUUAUAUGAUUAAGUUGACUACAUGCAAAAAAUGACUUGAACUGGUUUACUUGCACAGGGGAGCAGGGGUUAGCCCUGUUGCCUCACAGAAAGAAGGUUCCUGGUUCUAAUCCUUGACUUAGCGGGAACUUUACUGUGUGGUGUUGCAUGUUCUCUUCUUGCACGCAUGGGUUCUCUCAGGGUUCUCCAGCUUCCUUUACAGUACAAAGACAUCCUUGUCAGCUUAAUUGGUCUCUCUAAAUUGUCUGUAGGUGUGAGCGUGUGCAAUAAUUGUUUAUCCCUACAAUGUUUAGACCUGUGAUAGGGUACAACAGUCCAGGGUGUACCCCGCCUCUUGCCCAAUGACAGUUUGGAUGGAUGUAUGGAUGUAUGGAAGGAUGGAUGGAUGAUUUGGCAGUUAUUCUUUUUCUGCAAGAGGUUGGAUAAAAUCAACACGUUUAACACCCCAGGUGUUUCACUGUAAAUGGUGACCCUGUUAGCGGUGACCUCCAGCUGAAUGUGUCUCUGGCAAAUGCCUUUAGUUUCAAUAAAGUUAUAUCUGAGUUUAUCCUGACAUUAG